rnacentral:rRNA from 1 species
AUUGAACGCUGGCGGCAGGCCUAACACAUGCAAGUCGAGCGGUAGCACAGAGAGCUUGCUCUCGGGUGACGAGCGGCGGACGGGUGAGUAAUGUCUGGGAAACUGCCUGAUGGAGGGGGAUAACUACUGGAAACGGUAGCUAAUACAGCAUAACGUCGCAAGACCAAAGGGGGGGACCUUCGGGCCUCUUGCCAUCAGAUGUGCCCAGAUGGGAUUAGCUAGUAGGUGGGGUAACGGCUCACCUAGGCGACGAUCCCUAGCUGGUCUGAGAGGAUGACCAGCCACACUGGAACUGAGACACGGUCCAGACUCCUACGGGAGGCAGCAGUGGGGAAUAUUGCACAAUGGGCGCAAGCCUGAUGCAGCCAUGCCGCGUGUAUGAAGAAGGCCUUCGGGUUGUAAAGUACUUUCAGCGGGGAGGAAGGUGUUGAGGUUAAUAACCUCAGCAAUUGACGUUACCCGCAGAAGAAGCACCGGCUAACUCCGUGCCAGCCGCCGCAGUAAAAC